rnacentral:rRNA from 1 species
UACGGAGGGUGCGAGCGUUGUCCGGAAUCACUGGGCGUAAAGGGCGCGUAGGUGGCCGAGCAAGGUCGCGGUGAAAGCCCGGGGCUCAACUCCGGGUCGGCCGUGGCAACUACUCGGCUUGAGCACUGUAGGGGCGGGUGGAAUUCCGGGUGUAGCGGUGGAAUGCGUAGAGAUCCGGAAGAACACCGGUGGCGAAGGCGGCCCGCUGGGCAGGAAGGCUCGCAAGAGCCGGCUGACACUGAGGCGCGACAGCGUGGGGAGCAAACAGG